rnacentral:rRNA from 1 species
UACGAGGGGGGCAAAUGUUGUUCGGAAUCACUGGGCGUAAAGGGUGCGUAGGCGGGGCUUUAAGUCAGGGGUGAAAUCCUGGAGCUCAACUCCAGAACUGCCUUUGAUACUGAAGAUCUUGAGUUCGGGAGAGGUGAGUGGAACUGCGAGUGUAGAGGUGAAAUUCGUAGAUAUUCGCAAGAACACCAGUGGCGAAGGCGGCUCACUGGCCCGAUACUGACGCUGAGGCACGAAAGCGUGGGGAGCAAACAGG